GACGAACGCUGGCGGCGUGCCUAAUACAUGCAAGUAGAACGCAGUUGCGGACGGGUGAGUAACGCGUAGGUAACUGCCUCAUAGCGGAGGAUCACUAUUGGAAACGAUAUCUAACACCGCAUACUGUGAGAUGGACAUGCGUUGUAUUAGCUAGUUGGUGAGGUAAAGGCUCAACAAGGCGACGGUACAUAGCCGACCUGGGAGGGUGAGCGGCCAACCUGGGACUGGGGAACGGCCCCGACUCCUAAGGGAGGCAGGAGUAGGGGAUGUUGGGACAUGGACGGAAGGCUUACCGAGCAACGGCGCGGGAGGGAAGAAGGUUUUCGGAUCGUAAAGCUCUGUUGUGAUGGAAGCGGUAACUAACGAGAAAGGGACGGCUAACUACGUGCCAGCAGCCGCGGUAAUUC
rnacentral:rRNA from 1 species